GACGAACGCUGGCGGCGUGCUUAACACAUGCAAGUCGAACGGAAAGACCCUGCUUUUGUGGGUUUCUCGAGUGGCGAACAGGUGAGUAACACGUGAGUAUCCUCCCCUUAACUUUGGGAUAACUUCAGGAAACUGGGGCUCUUACCCCGUAGAAUCUCCUGCUGCAUGUGGUUGGUUGGAAAAUUUCGGCGGUUGUGGCUAGUCUCGCGGCUUAUCAGCUUGUUUGUGGGGUAGGUGCUUACCAAGGGUUCGAAGGGUAGCCGGCCUGGGAGGUGGACCGGCCACAUGGGGACUGCGAUACGGAGCAGACUGCAACGGGCGGCAGCAGGGGGGAAUAUGGCACAGUGGGCGGAAGCCUGAGGCGGCAACGCCGCGAGCGGGAUGCCGGCCUUCGGGGUGAAAACAGCUUUGGCCGGUGACGAAGAGGUAGUGACGGUAAUGGGUAAAGAAGCACCGGCUAACUACGUG
rnacentral:rRNA from 1 species